AUUGAACGCUGGCGGCAGGCCUAACACAUGCAAGUCGAGCGGAUGAAGGGAGCUUGCUCCUGGAUUCAGCGGCGGACGGGUGAGUAAUGCCUAGGAAUCUGCCUGGUAGUGGGGGAUAACGUCCGGAAACGGGCGCUAAUCCCGCAUACGUCCUGAGGGAGAAAGUGGGGGAUCUUCGGACCUCACGCUAUCAGAUGAGCCUAGGUCGGAUUAGCUAGUUGGUGUGGUAAAGGCCUACCAAGGCGACGAUCCGUAACUGGUCUGAGAGGAUGAUCAGUCACACUGGAACUGAGACACGGUCCAGACUCCUACGGGAGGCAGCAGUGGGGAAUAUUGGACAAUGGGCGAAAGCCUGAUCCAGCCAUGCCGCGUGUGUGAAGAAGGUCUUCGGAUUGUAAAGCACUUUAAGUUGGGAGGAAGGGCAGUAAGUUAAUACCUUGCUGUUUUGACGUUACCAACAGAAUAAGCACCGGCUAACUUCGUG
rnacentral:rRNA from 1 species